rnacentral:rRNA from 1 species
CUACGGGUCGCAGCAGUGAGGAAUAUUGCACAAUGGGGGGAACCCUGAUGCAGCAACGCCGCGUGGAGGAUGACGCAUUUCGGUGUGUAAACUCCUUUUAUAUGUCAAGAAAAUGACGGUAGCAUAUGAAUAAGCGCCGGCUAACUCCGUGCCAGCAGCCGCGGUAAUACGGAGGGCGCAAGCGUUACUCGGAAUCACUGGGCGUAAAGGACGCGUAGGCGGGUUGAAAAGUCAGGUGUGAAAGCCUACAGCUUAACGGUAGAACUGCACUUGAAACUCUCAAUCUAGAGUAUGGGAGGGGCAGAUGGAAUUAGUGGUGUAGGGGUAAAAUCCGUAGAUAUCACUAGGAAUACCUAAAGCGAAGGCGAUCUGCUGGAACAUUACUGACGCUAAGGCGUGAAAGCGUGGGGAGCAAACAGGAUUAGAUACCCCCGUAGUC